rnacentral:rRNA from 1 species
CAGCAGCCGCGGUAAAACGAAGGGUGCAAGCGUUAAUCGGAAUUACUGGGCGUAAAGCGUGCGUAGGCGGUUUGUUAAGUCUGCUGUGAAAUCCCCGGGCUCAACCUGGGAAUGGCAGUGGAUACUGGCAAGCUAGAGUGUGUCAGAGGAUGGUGGAAUUCCCGGUGUAGCGGUGAAAUGCGUAGAGAUCGGGAGGAACAUCAGUGGCGAAGGCGGCCAUCUGGGACAACACUGACGCUGAGGCACGAAAGCGUGGGGAGCAAACAGGAUUAGAUACCCCUGUAGUCCCUGUCUCUUAUAC